rnacentral:rRNA from 1 species
UAGUGAGUUUGAUCCUGGCUCAGGGUGAACGCUGGCGGCGUGCUUAAGACAUGCAAGUCGAGCGCAGGAAGCUCACGGAACUCUUCGGAGGGAAGUGAAGGGAAUGAGCGGCGGACGGGUGAGUAACACGUAAGGAACCUGCCCCAAGGAUUGGGAUAACUCCGAGAAAUCGGAGCUAAUACCGAAUAGUUCUUCAGACCGCAUGGUCCGAGGAUGAAAGGCGCUUCGGCGUCACCUUGGGAUGGCCUUGCGGUGCAUUAGCUAGUUGGUGGGGGUAAUGGCCCACCAAGGCGACGAUGCAUAGCCGACCUGAGAGGGGUGAUCGGCCACACUGGGGACUGAGACACGGCCCAAACUCCUACGGGGAGCAGCAGUAGGGGAAUAUUGCGCAAUGGGGCGAAAGCCUGACGCAGCGACGCCGCGUGAGUGACGAAGGGCCUUCGGGUCGUAACCGCUGAAACGAGGACGAAAUCCCCGCAAGGGGGUCUGACGGUACUCGUGUAAUAGCACCGGCUAACUCCGUGCCAGCAGCCGCGGUAA